rnacentral:tRNA from 1 species
GGGGGCGUAGCUCAGCUUUGGUAGAGCGCUUCCAUGGCAUGGAAGAGGUCGAGGGUUCGAGUCCCUUCGCCUCCAC